rnacentral:rRNA from 1 species
GACGAACGCUGGCGGCGUGCUUAACACAUGCAAGUCGAACGAUGAAGCCCUUUCGGGGGUGGAUUAGUGGCGAACGGGUGAGUAACACGUGGGUAACCUGCCCUGUACCCUGGGAUAAGCCUUGGAAACGAGGUCUAAUACCGGAUAUGACCUGCUCUCGCAUGGGGGUGGGUGGAAAGUUUUGGCGGUGCAGGAUGGACCCGCGGCCUAUCAGCUUGUUGGUGGGGUGAUGGCCUACCAAGGCGACGACGGGUAGCCGGCCUGAGAGGGCGACCGGCCACACUGGGACUGAGACACGGCCCAGACUCCUACGGGAGGCAGCAGUGGGGAAUAUUGCACAAUGGGCGAAAGCCUGAUGCAGCGACGCCGCGUGAGGGAUGAC